rnacentral:rRNA from 1 species
CCUACGGGAGGCUGCAGUGAGGAAUAUUGGUCAAUGGGCGAGAGCCUGAACCAGCCAAGUCGCGUGAGGGAGUACUGCCCUAUGGGUUGUAAACCUCUUUUGUCGGGGAGCAAAAGCCGGACGUGUCCGGCUGUUAGAUUACCCGGAGAAAAAGCAUCGGCUAACUCCGUGCCAGCAGCCGCGGUAAUACGGAGGAUGCGAGCGUUAUCCGGAUUUAUUGGGUUUAAAGGGUGCGCAGGCGGAUUUUUAAGUCAGCGGUCAAAUCGUGGGGCUCAACCCCAUCCCGCCGUUGAAACUGGGGAUCUAGAGUGUGCGAGAGGUAUGCGGAAUGCGUGGUGUAGCGGUGAAAUGCAUAGAUAUCACGCAGAACCCCGAUUGCGAAGGCAGCAUACCGGUGCACAACUGACGCUCAGGCACGAAAGCGUGGGUAUCGAACAGGAUUAGAUACCCCAGUAGUC